AAUUAGCACAAGAAUCUAAAAACACAGAAGGUUUAAUUCAUGUAUCUUGUGUGGACAUCCAAAAUAAGCAAAGGGCUUCACAGACAUUGUUGCCAACUUUGUACUAAAAAUUCUGUCAACUAUGGCUAAGAAGUGAACACCUACAGACCACAGAAAAUAAAAACUUAAAGAAUAAAAUCAAACUCAAAGCAAGAGUGGAACAUGGAGACAAAGCAUACAUCCAGUUCUCUACUUCUCUUCCAGGCGACGCAACACUGAUUCUGCAAAACUCUGCUGCUUCCUCUCUCGAUGCUUUGGGCUAGGACGAGAGUAUUUCAAAUAUCCAUCCCAAGGAACCUUUUUAAGACCUGCUCUAACAGAAAUGAUGUCUCUCACCCUCUCUGCAAACUCGAUUGGAGUCUCCCCGGGUCUUAUGUUCUGAGGUUCCAGGUACCAAACAUCACAGACAACAGCCCAAGAUGUCAUGAGCUGCAAGAGGUGUGUUGUGAAGGAUUGUUUUUUACUAUUCCAAAAGGCAUCAACAAAAAUUUUGUUGUACUUGAUUGCAACAGGACAAACAGUGCAGCCGAGUUCAAAUGCUCCCUUUUUGAACAUGACGGUGUAGUGGUUAUUUACACAAGUUCCCUCAGGGAAUAUAAGAAGAGGGUUGUUAUCGGCCCCUUCGACAUGUUGCCUCAACUUCUUUGCUACAAUUUCACGAUCCUUGGCUUCUGAGCGGUUGAACCAGAUACAGCCAACACCUUCUAAAAUGGUGCUCUGCAGUAAUCCGACCCACCCAGGAUGCUUCUGCAUGAUCACAGCAAAUGCAGUCAUCUGCUCUAAGACAAUAAAGUCAAUCAUCGAUGUGUGAUUUGCCACAAAAACCUGUUUAGGUCGUAUGCUAGGUCGUGGGCCAUGGUAUUUGACAACCCCAGUCCAAGAUGCAACAAAGAAACUGCAUAUCAGCUCCACCAGGCACCUCUCUAGCUUUUUCCUGAAUUUAUCGUGCCCUUUCAGAAGUAAAUGCACGGGGAUAUAGCAAGACAGAAAUAUUAUCCAUCCUAUUGUCAAGACAAUGACUCUUAUAGGAAAAAGAACUCCAUAUCUAACAACAACUCCCAAGCACCAUAAAGGAAACAAAUAGAUGUUCCAGUUCCAAGGUUCUGGUGGAUUUGACUUGAAGCAUCGGGUGAAAGAAUCGUCAAUAAUUGCACCAGCAGCCUCAGUCAAAGUGGGAGAUAUAUCAAGCAAAUCACGCAAUCGAAGCUUUCCAUGGGGUUCUUGUAUGGAUCCAGUAGGAAGAUAAUCUUCAAGAUUGGGUCGAUCGAAGUCCAAUUCAGAGCUUGAAGAUUUAAGAUUACUCAUGAUUUUGAUAUCAACAAUACAAAGAACCUGUUCCUUCUUGAUAUACA
rnacentral:misc_RNA from 1 species